rnacentral:rRNA from 1 species
UACGAAGGGGGCUAGCGUUGCUCGGAAUCACUGGGCGUAAAGGGUGCGUAGGCGGGUCUUUAAGUCAGGGGUGAAAUCCUGGAGCUCAACUCCAGAAUUGCCUUUGAUACUGAAGAUCUUGAGUUCGGGAGAGGUGAGUGGAACUGCGAGUGUAGAGGUGAAAUUCGUAGAUAUUCGCAAGAACACCAGUGGCGAAGGCGGCUCACUGGCCCAUAACUGACGCUGAGGCACGAAAGCGUGGGAGCAAACAGG